CUGAUGUGGUUACUCAACACAAGAUCCUAAAAUCCUGCACCUAAAAUCAGUGCUGUUCUUCAUCCCAAAAGCUGACUACAGUUUUUUCCUUUAUAGGAAACCAGGACCCUGAGUGAAAGCAGAGGCAAAAGCAAUGUGCACUCGGAUGGACGGAGAGCUGGAGGAGUUGCAGGGCACAUUCUUCCCUUGCUGCUGCCAUGGGUGAGCAGCAGCAGCCGGAGCAGCUCGGUGCGUGCUGGGGUGGCUGCCCAUCGUGUGUGUUCUGCUGGCUCGGGGCUGCUGAGCAACACUCCAGGCCCCGCACAGCAUUUGGGUGAGAGCAUCCUGCUGGAUGGCAGCUUUGAUUUUCCACCGUGGAGAGGCAUCGCAGCACAGCGGGAACUCAGCCAGAGCCAGAGGUCAUUCUGCAGCGCGUGCCCAGCAUCGGGGCACCUUGCAUGGCUUAAACCAAAGGCUUUCUUUUAAAAUCAAGUGUGUAUUGGACUGUGUGUGCAGGAAAGGCACAAAUCCUCUGGAGAUAAGAGCUGAGGCCUGCUUCCUGUUGCCUUGAAUGCUGCUGCUGGCUGACCUGUGUAUUUGGAGCAAGAUAAUGGAAGUCCGGCACCAUUACAAAACAGCACAUGGGGAUCCAUUCUGGCUUGCGUUCAAGCCCCUGACAAGGCACUGUCCUGUCGCAGUACCCCAAAGCACUCAGUUUCCCCUUUUUCAUGGAAAUCCAAGACUGCACUCAGCAGUGCCUUUGUUGUCAUGUGAGCGUGUCUCUAAGUGAAUUGUAAUGUCUCUUUUGCCACUUUCCUUCUGGAAUAAUAUCUUCAGUGCAAGCAGGAAAUUUUCUUCCAUCAGCUGCCGGUGAAUGAGUUCUUCAGGUUGGUUAUUUUAAAAUAAUUUGUUUAACUUUGA